AGCAGCCGCGGUAAUUCCAGCUCCAAUAGCGUAUAUUAAAGUUGUUGCCGUUAAAAAGCUCGUAGUUGAAUUUCGGGGUCAGUAGGUUGGUCAUGCCACUGGUAUGUACUGGUCUCACUGAUUCCUCCUUCCUGAUGAGCCGUAAUGCCAUUAAUUUGGUGUUGCGAGGAAUCUGGACUGUUACUUUAGAAAAAUUAGAGUUGUUUAAAGCAGGCUAACGCUUGAAUACAUUAGCAUGGAAUAAUGAAAUAGGACGUUCGAUCCUAUUUUGUUGGUUUCUAGGAUUGACGUAAUGAUUAAUAGGGAUAGUUGGGGGCAUUAGUAUUCAAUUGUCAGAGGUGAAAUUCUUGGAUUUAUUGAAGACUAACUACUGCGAAAGCAUUUGCCAAGGAUGUUUUCAUUAAUCAAGAACGAAGUUAGGGGAUCGAAGACGAUCAGAUACCGUCGUAGUCUUAACCAUAAACUAUAGCCGACUAGGGAUCGGAUGAUGUUUAAUUUUUAAUGUACUCU
rnacentral:rRNA from 1 species